AUUUACAAUUCUAUUGCUUACAAUGUUUCUUUUAUAAGAAACUAGACUCAAUAUGAUUUAAUUUCAUAUUUUAUUCAUCCUCUAAUUUUUUUUGAAAAAUAGUUGCAGAUUGGGCUGUAUUAUUGAAAUCAAAUAAAGAAAAAAAAACAAAACAGAAUCAGUCCAGGCCCGGUUUGAGCCUUAAUCCUAUCCCCAAAACAAAACAAUAAAAAAUGAAAAAACUGAAACGUCAAAAGCUACUACCAUUAAAUCCUAAAAAGCAGCAUAACUGAACCUUCUGGAAGCCAUUAAUGCUGCUGUAAAAUCUUUCCCAAUCAGCAUCAAAACUUUCAAUCGUCUUGUUCCUUCACCUGCCAAAACUUCUUCAAGACAAAAUCAUACUCCCGAGGAAACCCCUUGUUCUGUCAUUUCUUUACCUGCUACCUCUCGGUUUACCUAUUUCAUUUUCAUCCCUGUCAUUCAAUCUGAUUCCCUCC
rnacentral:lncRNA from 1 species